ensembl:lncRNA
AGCCACCCUGACUGACAGCCUAAAGAAGGGAGGGGCUUAUCUGGAGAUUUGGGGGUAUGCUUUUUGUCUAAUCGAGUGAAACUCAGUAAGAUUCAUGGGAAACUCACAAAGUUUUCUGCUUUUUCCUAAGAGAAUUGUACUAGCAUAAGUAUCACUGACUUGGACUAAAAUAGACACAGUUUAAAAUGAAAUGAAGACACUGGACACCCAGGGAAGCAGCCUGAACGUGUUACCCUGCUGCACAAGGGCUAUUUCUUAUGGAAAAGGAGGAAUAACUCAAAGGAUGGAGCCAAGAGCCCAGAGGGUAGAGGUCCACGUGGAGAAGAACCAAGGCCCCUGACCCACGACCCAUUCUGACCCAGCCCCCAGCCAGCACCAACUGCCAGCCAUGUGAAUGAGGCCAUUUGGAACCUCCAGCUGUGCCAGAGCCCAACUGACUCUAGAUGAAGCUGAACCUACACGACUGUGAGAAAUUGGUGAAGCAGAAAUGUGAACUGGGAGGUACAUACAAAAGUGCCGUCAGAGGGCAGAGGAAAUGCCGCUAACCAGCUGAAGGCGGCCGGCAGGGAGAAGCAGAGAGCUGAGUGAUUCAGGGCAGAUAAACCCUGGAUGGGCCAGUCAGCAGCCCGCCUUCCUUCUCCAGGUGUCUCCGAUGGGAUGGGACGAAGUUUUCACCUGACAGAACUGAGAGCGGAAAGAGCUGAAGGAAGUUUCUUUGGGUCUGUCUCUCUAACACCAGUUCAUGUUUGCACAGCUGGAUGAUGUUAUCAAGCAGGUUUCUGACCUGGACCUUUCUGAAGCGAGAAAUUUACUGAUUCUAGGUACCUCUGGAUCGGGGGGCUGGUGAGCCUGGUGUUCAAGCUUCUGUGGACUCUGCAUGUUCCCAAGGGAUAGACAGUUUGCAAGUGUUGUUCCUUUUCCUAGCGUCCUGGCCACAAAGAGGGCCCCAGGAUACACCUGGGACCCUAGCCUCCCCUCAGCCCUGUCUCCUGGCCAUAAUCUGAACAUGUGGAAGACACAUCAGCAUUCCCCACCCCCUCCUUUUUCAGAUGAGGGACUGUUCUGACCCUUCCUCACUCAUUGGCCUGACAUUUUCUUCUCAGCAUAGGCGGUUGGCGUCAGCUUCACCCUCACCAGCUCCCUGGUGGAAAAACUUUUGACUUUUGUGUUCUAAAAUAGCUUAGCGAUAGUUCUUGCCUUCUCCCCUUCCCACAUUAGCAAGACGAUCAUAAGCAUUCAUUUAACAGGUGUUUUAACAAAUAUUUUAUUCAGUGCCAACUCUGUGCUAGGUUCAGUUCUAGGAGCUGAGGAUUCAGUAGUGAACAAGAGAGAAAGUUCCUGCACUCACGGAACUAAUUUUCUAAUGAGGGAGACAGACAACGACAAAUAAAUGUAUAAGUGUAUAAUGUUGAGUAGUGAAACCUGUCCUGAAAAAAAUCAAUCAGGUUAAACAGAUGUGAGUGGGGGACAGUUCUGAGAUCUCUCUCAUAAAGUGACAUUUGAGAGAUCUGAACAAAAUAUGGGGGAAGAGUAUUUCAGGCUAAGUGAACAGCAAGUACAAAGGCCCUGAGGCAGGAAGAAACAGGGCAAAUUCAAGGAAUAGCAAUUAGGUUAGUGUGGCGAAAGCAGGGAAAGCAUGGUAGAGGGUGAUGGAUGAGGAUGGGGAAGAGAGAUGGGAACCAGAUUAGAUAGGACGUCUACAGAUGGGGAUUUUGUUAUGAGGAUAAAUGGCAUGAUCUGAUUUGUGCUUACAAAGACCUCCCUAGAGGUGAUCUGGAGAAUAGACUGGGAGAGCGCAUGGAGGAGGUGGAAGCAGGGAGAGCAAUUAGGAGGCUACUGUAUAACCCAGGGCACGACGAUGGUGGCUUGGUCCAGGAGGGUUACAGCAGAGUUAGGGGGUGGUUAAUUCUGAUGGUUUGAAGCUAGAGCUGACAAGACUUGCUGAGAGACUGGAAAAGGCAUUUGAGAAGAAGAGUGGCACAUGGAGGACACCUUUUGGGUUUUGGGCUCAGGGAACUGAACACUGGUACGAUUCUCUGACACAGGUAAGCAUGGGAGCGGAGUAUGGGGAAUAGGUUUUGGGGGCCAGGUGUGUUGAGUUUGAUAGACAGUUGAACGUGAGUCUGGAGGUCUAGGCUGGAGACGGAAAUUUUGCAGUCAUCAACACAUAGGUAUUGGAAAUCACCCCUGGGGGGCCAGCCCAGUGGCGCAGCGGUUAAGUGCGCAUGUUCCACUUCAGUGGCCUGGGGUUCACUGGUUUGGAUCCCGGGUGAGGACAUGGCACCGCUUGGCAAGCCAUGCUGUGGUAGGCGUCCCACAUAGAAAGUAGAGGAAGAUGGGCACGGAUGUUAGCUCAGGGCCAGUCUUCCUCAGCAAAAACAGGAGGAUUGGCAGUGGAUGUUAGCUCAGGGCCAGUCUUCCUCAGCAAAAAUAAAAAUAAAAAUAAAUAAAAAAUAUUAAAAAAAAAAAUCACUCCGAGGGAGUCAGUAUGGACAGGAAAGAGCGCUGCAGACUACGGCUUGGGGCCUACAGCAACUGGCGCAUAGAAGGAGCAGCCCACAGAGAAGACAGAAGCAGCCAGAGAAGUGAGGAAGAUCAGGAAAGCCUGGUGUCCAGGAAGCCAAGCGAAGAAAGUAGAUUCUGUAUGAUCACAACCAAGUGUCAACUUCUGAGCCUCAGUUUCCUCAUCUGUGAAAUGGAGACAGUCACAACUGCCUACUUCACAGAGUUGUUAGGCUUGUGUCCUGCUGGCAUAUAGUAAACUCCCCGUCUAUUGUUAGCAUCCCCCCAUAGCAGCGGUGGCUGCCAGAGCCCUCAGCUGCUCCAUCCAGACAAACGGCAGCACCUCGGUGACUCUUCCUCAGGAGUGAGGUGUCCCUGCUCACUCAGGCAGCAGGUGGGUCUGAGGAGUGGCCUCUGGGCCAAAUCUGAACCAAGAGACCUCAACGCCUAAGCCUCUCACCCACACAGCCUCCAGCCUUUACCUGUAAAUCAGAAAGGGGAAAACUUGGUAAAUAAAGGUUUUGGAGUCCGAAUUCUGCCUCUGCCUCUCACCAGCUGUGGGGUCUUAGGCAAGCUUCUUCUCUUCGUAAGCCUUGAACUCUUUACCUGUGAGAUGGGGACAACUCCCACUUUACAGGAUUGUGUCCAGGCCGGUGCAGAUGGCAAAAAGGCGCCUUCUCUCCUGCUUGCGGGCCCGCGAGUUAGCGAGGCUCCCUGCCACCCUCCCACUUAGGGUAUGUAACCUCGCGAGGCAGGAUGCACUAGGAGAGGCACCCCCCCAACACACCCAACACACCGCGCCCUCUGCGGUCCCCCAGCCUGGGCUAGAGGAGAGAAGCGGGGCCUCAUGCACUUUCUUUUCCGCAGGGCGCCGGGGAAGGCCC